UCCUGAAGGUUUUCCUGACAGUGUGACACCUUCUUAUGUCCCAUAUAUGAGAUGGAGGGCUUUGAAGCAUUUCUUUGGUGGAGCCAUGGGUGUUUUCACAACACGGACACUGUUAAACUCUGUAGGAGUAUCCAAAAAUACAGCUGCAUCAGUGCUGUUGCCAUCAAUUGGAUACUCAAGACAAAGGAGAUUUGAUGGAGAUCAAACAUUUUGUGGCACACGAAGAUGACUAUAUGUAUUCUUAGUGUUGUUGGAUGGAUGAUGGACUUAUAAAACAUUGGGUUGUUGAACUUUGUAUCAUAUUUUCUAGCAGCUUGAAC